UCGGGAAUUUUGGGCAAUGGGCGAAAGCCUGACCCAGCAACGCCGCGUGAAGGAUGAAGUAUUUCGGUAUGUAAACUUCGUAAGAAUAGGAAGAAUAAAUGACGGUACUAUUUAUAAGGUCCGGCUAACUACGUGCCAGCAGCCGCGGUAAUACGUAGGGACCAAGCGUUGUUCGGAUUUACUGGGCGUAAAGGGCGCGUAGGCGGCAAUUCAAGUCAUCUGUGAAAUCUCCGGGCUUAACUCGGAACGGUCAGAUGAUACUGCUUUGCUAGAGUGCAGAAGGGGCAAUCGGAAUUCUUGGUGUAGCGGUGAAAUGCGUAGAUAUCAAGAGGAACACCUGAGGUGAAGACGGGUUGCUGGGCUGACACUGACGCUGAGGCGCGAAAGCCAGGGGAGCAAACGGGAUUAGAUACCCCAGUAGUCCCUGA
rnacentral:rRNA from 1 species